rnacentral:rRNA from 1 species
GAUGAACGCUGGCGGCGUGCCUAAUACAUGCAAGUCGAGCGAACAGACGAGGAGCUUGCUCCUCUGACGUUAGCGGCGGACGGGUGAGUAACACGUGGAUAACCUACCUAUAAGACUGGGAUAACUUCGGGAAACCGGCGCUAAUACCGGAUAAUAUAUUGAACCGCAUGGUUCAAUAGUGAAAGACGGUUUUGCUGUCACUUAUAGAUGGUUCUGCGCCGCAUUAGCUAGUUGUUAAGGUAACGGCUUACCACGGCAACGAGGCGUAGACGACCUGAGAGAGUGAUCGGCCACAUGAGAGCGUAAACAGCGACCAGAGUCCUACGGGAGGGAGCAGAAGGCAACCGGCCGCAGUGGGCGAGAGCAUGACGGAGCAACGCCGCGUGAGAGAUAAAGGUGCUCGGAGCGUGAAACUCUGUUUUGGGGGAAAAACAAAUGUGUAAGUAACUAUGCACGGCUUGACGGUACCGAAUCAGGAAGCCACGGCUAACUACGUG